AGCUAGAAGUUUGCGUUCUUCUCCGGAUGGCUGGUGCCUCUGGUCUUGUAGAGAAAGAAUGGACUAGCGAAUCCCUGCUCUCUGCAUGUCGAUUUAGAAUCGUCCAAGUCUUUUCAUAGAUCUAGAUGUCUGUCCACUUCGGUAGAUGAAACAUACUAUUCUUUUUAAAGUUGGAUGACAUGUGCAUUGACAAGCAGGCUUUACUGCACAGGAUGACUUGUGUAUUUGGAAAGGAAAAAAAAUCACAAAAUUUCUCCAACUCUGAGAACUACUAUAUUUACUUUGCAGAAAUACAGUUAGACUCGACUUUGUAUUAAGGGUACCCAUCACAAUGUCCAUGAAUGAGCUGGGAAUCAGAACCAAAGCUAAACUCUCCGUGAUGUGGACUGCUGCAGCUUAGAAAACAUACUAAUCACUGCCCAACUCUCUUCAGCUCCUGCCUCCUCCAGCACACGCUGCUCAGCCAUGGUUCUCCACGGCCAAGGACUUCAGACUUGCUGGGGUCCUGCCUCUCUGAAAGCAGCAUUUUGGUUCUCUGGAGACCUGGCAGUGUGGACACUAGGAAAGCAUAAGAGCCUUUU